GACGAACGCUGGCGGCGUGCUUAACACACGCAAGUCGAGCGGUAAGGCCCUUUGGGGUACACGAGCGGCGAACGGGUGAGUAACACGUGAGUAAUCUGCCUUUGGCUUGGGAAUAACUUCGGGAAAUCGGGGCUAAUGCCUGAUGUUUACUGUCUGCUGCAUGGUGGGUGGUGGAAAGAUUUUUGGCCAGGGAUGAGCUCGCGGUCUAUCAGCUUGUUGGUGGGGUAAUGGCUUACCAAGGCUUUGACGGGUAGCCGGCCUGAGAGGGUGUUCGGCCACACUGGGACUGAGACACGGCCCAGACUCCUACGGGAGGCAGCAGUGGGGAAUAUUGCGCAA
rnacentral:rRNA from 1 species